AACACAUGCAAGUCGAGGGGCAGCAUUCCUGUUUGCUUGCAAACUGGAGAUGGCGACCGGCGCACGGGUGAGUAACACGUAUCCAACCUGCCGAUAACUCGGGGAUAGCCUUUCGAAAGAAAGAUUAAUACCCGAUGGUAUAAUUAGACCGCAUGGUCUUGUUAUUAAAGAAUUUCGGUUAUCGAUGGGGAUGCGUUCCAUUAGGCAGUUGGUGAGGUAACGGCUCACCAAACCUUCGAUGGAUAGGGGUUCUGAGAGGAAGGUCCCCCACAUUGGAACUGAGACACGGUCCAAACUCCUACGGGAGGCAGCAGUGAGGAAUAUUGGUCAAUGGGCGCAGGCCUGAACCAGCCAAGUAGCGUGAAGGAUGACUGCCCUAUGGGUUGUAAACUUCUUUUAUAUGGGAAUAAGGUUUUCCACGUGUGGAAUUUUGUAUGUACCAUAUGAAUAAGGAUCGGCUAACUCCGUGCCAGCAGCCGCGGUAAUACGGAGGAUCCGAGCGUUAUCCGGAUUUAUUGGGUUUAAAGGGAGCGUAGGUGGACAGUUAAGUCAGUUGUGAAAGUUUGCGGCUCAACCGUAAAAUUGCAGUCGAUACUGGCUGUCUUGAGUACAGUAGAGGUGGGCGGAAUUCGUGGUGUAGCGGUGAAAUGCUUAGAUAUCACGAAGAACUCCGAUUGCGAAGGCAGCUCACUGGACUGCAACUGACACUGAUGCUCGAAAGUGUGGGUAUCAAACAGGAUUAGAUACCCUGGUAGUCCACACAGUAAACGAUGAAUACUCGCUGUUUGCGAUAUACAGUAAGCGGCCCAGCGAAAGCAUUAAGUAUUCCACCUGGGGAGUACGCCGGCAACGGUGAAACUCAAAAGA
rnacentral:rRNA from 1 species